AAACUUGAGAGUUUGAUCCUGGCUCAGAACGAACGCUGGCGGCAUGCCUAACACAUGCAAGUCGAACGCCCUCUUCGGAGGGAGUGGCGCACGGGUGCGUAACGCGUGGGAACCUGCCCUUAGGUUCGGAAUAACUCAGAGAAAUUUGAGCUAAUACCGGAUAAUGUCUUCGGACCAAAGAUUUAUCGCCUUUGGAUGGGCCCGCGUAGGAUUAGGUAGUUGGUGGGGUAAAGGCCUACCAAGCCGACGAUCCUUAGCUGGUCUGAGAGGAUGAUCAGCCACACUGGGACUGAGACACGGCCCAGACUCCUACGGGAGGCAGCAGUGGGGAAUAUUGGACAAUGGGCGAAAG
rnacentral:rRNA from 1 species